rnacentral:rRNA from 1 species
GUACACUCCUACGGGAGGCAGCAGUGGGGAAUUUUGGACAAUGGGCGAAAGCCUGAUCCAGCAAUGCCGCGUGCAGGAUGAAGGCCUUCGGGUUGUAAACUGCUUUUGUACGGAACGAAAAAGCUCCUUCUAAUACAGGGGGCCCAUGACGGUACCGUAAGAAUAAGCACCGGCUAACUACGUGCCAGCAGCCGCGGUAAUACGUAGGGUGCGAGCGUUAAUCGGAAUUACUGGGCGUAAAGCGUGCGCAGGCGGUUAUGUAAGACAGAUGUGAAAUCCCCGGGCUCAACCUGGGAACUGCAUUUGUGACUGCAUGGCUAGAGUACGGUAGAGGGGGAUGGAAUUCCGCGUGUAGCAGUGAAAUGCGUAGAUAUGCGGAGGAACACCGAUGGCGAAGGCAAUCCCCUGGACCUGUACUGACGCUCAUGCACGAAAGCGUGGGGAGCAAACAGGAUUAGAAACCCCAGUAGUCC